rnacentral:rRNA from 1 species
AUUGAACGCUGGCGGCAGGCCUAACACAUGCAAGUCGAGCGAGCGGCGGACGGGUGAGUAAUGCCUGGGAAUUGCCCAGUCGAGGGGGAUAACAGUUGGAAACGACUGCUAAUACCGCAUACGAUGGGAUUGCCUAGGUGGGAUUAGCUAGUUGGUGAGGUAAUGGCUCACCAAGGCGACGAUCCCUAGCUGGUCUGAGAGGAUGAUCAGCCACACUGUAACUGAGACACGGUCCAGACUCCUGCGGGAGGCAUCAGUGGGGAAUAUUGGACAAUGGGCGAAAGCCUGAUCCAGCCCUGCCGCGUGUGUGAAGAAGGUCUUCGGAUUGUAAAGCACUUUAAGUUGAGGGGCGUUACCAACAGAAUAAGCACCGGCUAACUUCGUGCCAGCAGCCGCGGUAAUAC